UAUUUAGAGGAUUUGAUCCUGGUCCAGGAUGAACGCUGGCGGCGUGGAUAAGGCAUGCAAGUCAUACGGAUCAGUUUGUGAUUACAUCAAUAACUGAUUAGUGGCGAACGAGUUAGUAACACCUUGGUACGUACCCCGAAGACGGAAAUAACCCAGCGAAAGCUGGGCUAAUAUCCGAUGGUCUCGCAAGAGUAAAUCUCGCAAGGGGCUUCGGGAGCGACCUAGGUCUGAUCAGCUAGUUGGUAGGGUAAUGGCCUACCAAGGCUACGACCAGUAGGGGGGCUGAGAGGCUGAUCCCCAACGACGUUACUGAGACACGGAACGUACACCUACGGGUGGCAGCAGUCGAGAAUAUUCGACAAUGGGCGAAAGCCUGAUCGAGCGACGCCGCGUGAAGGAUGAAGGUCUUCGGAUCGUAAACUUCUUUUCUAUAGGAAAAAGCCGCAAGGCUGAUUGUACUGUAGGAAUAAGGAGCUGCUAACCUCGUGCCAGCAGCCGCGGUAAUACGAGGGCUCCAAGCGUUAUCCGGAUUUAUUGGGCGUAAAGAGUGCGUAGGAGGACCGACACGUUUCUUGUUAAAUCCCAGAGCUCAACUUUGGGGCUGCAAGGAAUACGAUCGGACUAGAGUGUGCGAGAGGCUAAUAGAACUCACGGUGUAGGGGUGAAAUCCGUUGAUAUCGUGGGGAAUACCAAAGGCGAAGGCAUUUAGCUGGCGCAUUACUGACUCUAAAGCACGAAAGCGUGGGGAGCAAAAAGGAUUAGAUACCCUUGUAGUCCACGCCCUAAACGAUGUCUACUGGCUAUCUCGAGUAUCGACCCUCGGGGUGGCGAAGCUAACGCGUUAAGUAGACCGCCUGGGAAGUACGGCCGCAAGGCUAAAACUCAAAGGAAUAGACGGGGACUCGCACAAGCGGUGGAGCAUGAGGUUCAAUUCGACAGUAAGCGAGAAACCUUACCAGGGUUUGAAAGAAUAAUGAAAGCCGCCAGAAACGGUGGCCUUCUCUCAAGGACAUUAUUCCAGGUGCUGCAUGGUUGUCGUCAGCUCGUGUUUUGAAAUGUUCCCUUAAGUGGGGUAACGAGCGCAACCCUUAUCUGAUGUUACAAGUGUCAUCGGAAACUGCCCUCUGUUUGGGGGAGGAAGGCGGGGAUGACGUCAAAUCAGCAUGGCCCUUUGAUACCCUGGGCUACACUCGUGCUACAAUGGCCAUUACAAUGGGUUGCCAAGCCGCAAGGCGGAGCUAAUCCCAACAAAAAUGGCCCCAGUUCAGAUUGGAGGCUGAAACUCGCCUCCAUGAAGUCGGAAUCGCUAGUAAUCGCGGAUCAUCACGCCGCGGUGAAUACGUUCUCGAGUCCUGUACUCACCGCCAAAUAACUGUGUUUGGCAGCUUGUUUUACUAAGUAGUUAAAAUCCACUCCUCC
rnacentral:rRNA from 1 species